rnacentral:pre_miRNA from 1 species
UACCCGUUAACUCGAAGAAAGUGUUAAGCAUCAUCUUUCACACUUUCUCGGUUGACGGGUACC